rnacentral:rRNA from 1 species
GUGGGGAAUUUUGGACAAUGGGCGCAAGCCUGAUCCAGCAAUGCCGCGUGCAGGAAGAAGGCCUUCGGGUUGUAAACUGCUUUUGUACGGAACGAAAAGGCUCUGGUUAAUACCUGGGGCUCAUGACGGUACCGUAAGAAUAAGCACCGGCUAACUACGUGCCAGCAGCCGCGGUAAUACGUAGGGUGCAAGCGUUAAUCGGAAUUACUGGGCGUAAAGCGUGCGCAGGCGGUUUUGUAAGACAGAGGUGAAAUCCCCGGGCUCAACCUGGGAAUUGCCUUUGUGACUGCAAGGCUGGAGUGCGGCAGAGGGGGAGGGAAUUCCGCGUGUAGCAGUGAAAUGCGUAGAUAUGCGGAGGAACACCGAUGGCGAAGGCAAUCCCCUGGGCCUGCACUGACGCUCAUGCACGAAAGCGUGGGGAGCAAACAGGAUUAGAUACCCCAGUAGUCC